UGUAAAUAUCAGCAAACCCGUCGAAAGGCGGCGACGCAAAGCCAUAGGGUCUAAGCCGAAAGGUAUGACAGCCGGUUGCCGUU
rfam:Faecalibacterium sp. CAG:1138 genomic scaffold, scf21